GACGAACGCUGGCGGCGUGCUUAACACAUGCAAGUCGAACGGAAAGGCCCUGCUUUUGCUGGGUGCUCGAGUGCCGAACGGGUGAGUAACACGUGAGUAACCCGCCCCUGUCUUUGGGAUAACUCUAGGAAACUGCGGCUAAUAUCGGAUAGGAUCUCCUGCAGCACGGUGGGGGUUGGAAAGUUUCGGCGGUUGGGGAUGGACUCGCAGCUUAUGCGCUUGUUGGGCGAGUAGUGGCUUACCAAGGUUUUGACGGGUAGCCCGCCUGGGAGGGUUGCCGGCCUCAAUGGUACUAAGGGACGGACCAGACUGCUACGGGCGGCAGCAGUGGGAAGUAUUACGCAAUGAGCGGGAGCCUGAUGCGGCAGCGCCGCGUGCGUGAUGACGUCUUUCGAGGUGUAAACCGCUUUCGCCUUAAACGAGGAGUGAGUGACGGUAAUGGGUAAAGAAGCACCGGCUAACUACGUG
rnacentral:rRNA from 1 species